GAUCAUUAUUGAAACAUUGUAAAGGAAGGUUGAGCUGGCUCUUCACGGGCAUGUGCUUGCCUUUCUUUCAAUCUUCAUCCACCUGUGCACUUUUUGUAGGGAGCUUUGAGAAUAGGACCUCUCGCGGGGUCCUUAGUAUUAGGCUCUCUAUGUCUUUACACACUCUUGAAUGUAUGUCGUUGAAUGUCUUUUACGGGGACUUAAUUGACCCUUUAAAAACUAUACAACUUUCAGCAACGGAUCUCUUGGCUCUCGCAUCGAUGAAGAACGCAGCGAAAUGCGAUAAGUAAUGUGAAUUGCAGAAUUCAGUGAAUCAUCGAAUCUUUGAACGCACCUUGCGCCUCUUGGUAUUCCGAGAGGCAUGCCUGUUUGAGUGUCAUUAAAUUCUCAACUUCAAAAGCUUUUGCUUAUUGAAGCUUGGAUGUGGAGGCUUUGCUGGCUCUUCUUCUAGAGUCGGCUCCUCUGAAAUGCAUUAGUGGAAACUUUUUGCAAUCCGCAUUGGUGUGAUAAUUAUCUACGCUUAUGUUGUGGUUGCAGCUCUUUACUGAGUUUAGUAUCUGCUUCAAACCGUCCUAAGUUACUGGACAACUUGAACCUUUUGACCUCAAAUCAGGUAGGACUACCCGCUGAACUUAAGCAUAUCAAUAAGCGGAGGAAAAGAAACUAACAAGGAUUCCCCUAGUAACUGCGAGUGAAGAGGGAAAAGCUCAAAUUUAAAAUCUGGCAGUCUU
rnacentral:rRNA from 1 species